rnacentral:lncRNA from 10 species
UGUUGUAGGAAAUUUCAGGUUACUUCUUAAAAACAAAACCUAGGCAGCCUGGCCAACAUGGUGAAACCCCAUCUUCACAAAAAAUUAUGACAAUUUGCCAGGUGUGGUGGUGCAUGCCUGUAAUCCCAGCUACUUGGGAGGCUGAGGCAGGAGGAUCCCUUGAACUCGGUGGCAGAGGUACCACAUUUAAAAAUCAGUUAUUACCCACUCCCACCACUUCUAUUCAACAUAGUACUGGAAGUACUAUCAAGAGAGAGCAAUUAGACAAGAAAAAGAAAUUAAAGAUAUCUAAAUUGGAAAGGAAGAAGUAAAAUGAUCUCUCUUUGCACAUAAUGAAUUUUUGACAAGAGCACCAAAAAGACAAAAUGAGAAAAGGGUAGUCUCUUCAAUAAAUAGGUGCUGGAAUUUCCACAUGCAAAAGAAUGAAAUUAGACUCUUACAUUACACCAUACACAAAAAUCAAUCCAAAAUGGAUAAAAGAUCUGCUCAUACAUGUUAGGAUAGCUAUUAUCAAAAAGACAAGAGCUAACAAGUGUUGGUGAGGGUGUGGAGAAGAGGGAGCACUUGUACACUGUUAGU